AUUAAUAAGCGGAGGAAAAGAAACCAACCGGGAUUCCCUGAGUAAGGGCGACUGAAACGGGAUCAGCCCAGCGCAUAACCUCGCGGUCCUCAGCCGGCCGUCGAGGGGUGUUGCGUUCCGGUGGAUCCGUCCCGCUCGAGCCGCUUACCGCCUAAGUCAUUGCUUGAAAGCAGCCCCAAGGAGGGUGAUAGGCCCGUGUGGCGGCGCCUCUAAAAAGGGUGAAGGCGGCCCGGGCGGAGGGAUCUUCACCGUAGAGUCGGGUUGCUUAGUACUGCAGCCCUAAGCAGGUGGUAAACUCCAUCUAAGGCUAAAUACAACCACGAGUCCGAUAGAGAACAAGUACCGUGAGGGAAAGCUGAAAAGGACUUUGAAGAGAGAGUUCAAAAGGACGUGAAACCGUUAGGAGCUUAAACGGGUGGAACCGCGAAGGUCGAACGAGGGGAUUCAGCUCGUCGGCCUCCGGCGUGCAGGUGUUGCGCUUCAUACGAAUUACCAUGAGAGGACCCGGCGUGAACUGGAAUUGCCGUGGCCGCGCCCCUGCCUCCGGAGUGUCGGCGGGCUUACUUCUCCCUCUAGUAGGUCGCCGCGACCCGUUGCCUAUAUUGGGCCCCCAGGGCCGUGCUGGAUUGGUAGCCCGGAUCUCACGGUCCGGGUGAUGACCGGCUGCGGUUCCGACGGGCCCGGGCGACGGUCACUGCCAGGAGGCCGCUUCACGGCGGCCUCUCGCGGCGUGCAAGGGAUCGGUAAUCCACCCGACCC
rnacentral:rRNA from 1 species